rnacentral:misc_RNA from 1 species
GAUGAAGAACGUAGUGAAAUGCGAUAAGUAAUGUGAAUUGCAGAAUUCCGUGAAUCAUCGAAUCUUUGAACGCACAUUGCGCCCCCUGGUAUUCCGGGGGGCAUGCCUGUCCGAGCGUCAUUGCAACCCUCAAGCGCGGCUUGUGUGUUGGGCUUCGUCCCCCCGUGGACGUGCCCGAAAGGCAGUGGCGGCGUCCCGAAUGGUGCCCGAGCGUAUGGGAACUCUCUUCCGCUCGAACCGGCCCAUUCGGCGCUGGUCGAACCCCAAUUUUUUUUACCGGUUGACCUCGGAUCAGGUAGGGAUACCCGCUGAACUUAAGCAUAUCAAUAAGCGGAGGA